GCCUCAUUAGCUCAGAGGCAGAGCGUCUGUGUUGUAAACAAAAGGUCCCUGGUCCGAUUCCUGUAUGUGGCA